rnacentral:rRNA from 1 species
CUAGUAAUCGCGAAUCAGAAUGUCGCGGUGAAUACGUUCCCGGGCCUUGUACACACCGCCCGUCACACCAUGGGAGUUGGAAGCACCCGAAGUCGGUGACCUGACCGAAAGGGAGGAGCCGCCGAAGGUGAAGCCAGCGACUGGGGUGAAGUCGUAACAAGGUACC